CUCACCAAUGAUGAGGUGAAUACCGCCCCAGUCUGAUCACUGUGACUGAAAGGUACUUCUGAGCUGUG
rnacentral:snoRNA from 1 species